GGUAGUUCAUGGUAUUACAUUUUGUAUUUGGUCUAGUUUAUAGGCAUUAAGCCCUUGCACUGGUACAACUAGAAACAUUGGCUGAAGAAAGCCAUGGUAUUUAGGUUUCACUGUUACUGUUAAUUCACAAGAGGAAUAAGUGAUGUAGGUCUGUAUGUAAGAUUUCUGAUACUGUCUUUGUUCUACUUUCAGAUUUGAGAUUACAUCUAUGGAAGAAGAUUGUAAUUUAACCCAUUUUUAAAAGAAAAUUGAGUUUUAGAUACCUUUCUUGCUCUGCAUCUUGCUGUCUAUCCAGUGGUGAAGUCUUGAGAGCCCCAAUGCGAUGGCUGGGGAAGGAAUUUUCAACAACCAGGAAAAGAAAAAGAUGGAAAAAAGAGGAAAAAAAAAGAAAAAUAUCAAAAGAAAAUAUUGAAAAAAAAUCAAAUAUGGAUACAUUUGUCAGAGAUGGACAAUAUCCAGAACAAACCUUGUUGAAUUAGGGUUAAUUCCAUAAGAUUUAGGUUAAUACCUUUGGGGUUAAAACCAUUGUGUUAAAAAUGCAAUAAUAUAGAUGUUGUUGUGGCAUUGCAUGUACCUUUUCUAGUCGGGAGGGGGGAUGCUAAUGUACUUCCUCCAUCAUCAGCCUUUGAAGCCACCCUUCCCCUCUUCCCCCAGGGAGAUUUGCACAUACCUGCACCUUGUUUUUAAUAUGUCUUCUCUGUAAUGCUUUUAAACCUUCAGAAUAAAGGCUUACUUAGAAAGA